GUGAACGGGCGCCAUCCCGAGGCUU
rnacentral:ncRNA from 2 species